UGAAUACGAGAUGCUACGGCGUCGAAGCAGUGUAUGUCAGACUUCCAAGAAAAGCUCGCAAUGUCAUAAAUAAAGAAUGCCUGUACCAUAACCGACACAGGUGGGUAGGUAGAGUAUACUAAGGGGCGCGAGAUAACUCUCUCUAAGGAACUCGGCAAAAUAACUCCGUAACUUCGGGAGAAGGAGUGCCUUCUUUAAGAAGGUUGCAAUAACAAGAUCCAAGCAACUGUUUAUCAAAAACACAGGUCUCCGCUAAGUCGUAAGGCGAUGUAUGGGGGCUGACGCCUGCCCAGUGCCAGAAGGUUAAAGAAGUUGGUUAGCUUUUGCGAAGCUGAUGACUAAAGCCCUGGUGAACGGCGGCCGUAACGAUAACGGUCCUAAGGUAGCGAAAUUCCUUGUCGGGUAAGUUCCGACCCGCACGAAAGGCGUAAUGAUUUGGAUACUGUCUCGGAGAGGGACUCGGUGAAAUAGACUUGUCUGUGAAGAUGCGGACUACCUGCACCAGGACAGAAAGACCCUAUGAAGCUUUACUGUAACUUGAAAUUGAAAUUGGACUUUAUUUGCGCAGUAUAGGUGGAAGGCGUUGAAAGUAAUCUUGCGGGAUUAGUGGAGCCAUCAGUGAGAUACCACUCCUAUAAUGUUAGAUUUCUAACUUUGGAUCAUGAUCUGGUCAAAGAACAGUUUCAGGCGGGCAGUUUGACUGGGGCGGUCGCCUCCCAAAUGGUAACGGAGGCGUACAAAGGUUUCCUCUGAACGGGUAGAAAUCGUAUCUAGAGUGUAAAGGCAUAAGGAAGCUUGACUGUGAGACCUACAAGUCGAGCAGGGACGAAAGUGUCUUAGUGAUCUGACGGUGCUGAGUGGAAAGGCCGUCACUCAACGGAUAAAAGUUACUCUAAGGAUAACAGGCUGAUCUCCCCCAAGAGUUCACAUCGACGGGGAGGUUUGGCACCUUGAUGUCGGCUCAUCGCAUCCUGGGGCGGUAGUACGUCCCAAGGGUUGGGCUGUUCGCCCAUGAAAGCGGUACGCGAGCUGGGUUCAGAACGUCGUGAGACAGUUCGGUCCAUAUCCGGUGUAGGCGUUAGAAUAUUGAGAGGAGCCUUCUUUAGUACGAGAGGACCGAGAAGGACAUACCUCUGGUGUACCAGUUAUCGUGCCAACGGUAAACGCUGGGUAGCUAUGUAUGGAGAGGAUAACCGCUGAAAGCAUCUAAGUGGGAAGCCCACCUCAAGAUGAGUAUUCCC
rnacentral:rRNA from 1 species